GGGGGCGACACGGCUUCGACGUGGAUAGCGAAACUUGAAGUGCAUGCCGAGGGACAGAUUACCUCGUAAAUACAGCUGUUACAUUUAUAGUUGCAAACGACGACAACUACGCUUUAGCUGCUUAAUAACCAGUUUUAAAGCCUUCUGCCUGGUGAGUGCUUAUGCUCCCAGAUCACAGGAGUCACUAACAUAAGAUCGCGCGAAAGGUACGUCUGGGACUGAUCCGCUAAAACUUACCAGACUCACCGUAUGUGAUCCCUGUCUGUCGGGCAGCAGCCGGUUAAAUUUAAAGACAGAAUAAGCAUGUAGAGCUGAUAGCGGAGAAUUUGCGGACGCGGGUUCGAUUCCCGCCGCCUCCACCA
rnacentral:tmRNA from 1 species